UCUACGGGAGGCAGCAGUGGGGAAUAUUGCACAAUGGGGGGAACCCUGAUGCAGCGACGCCGCGUGAGUGAAGAAGUAUUUCGGUAUGUAAAGCUCUAUCAGCAGGGAAGAAAAUGACGGUACCUGACUAAGAAGCCCCGGCUAACUACGUGCCAGCAGCCGCGGUAAUACGUAGGGGGCAAGCGUUAUCCGGAUUUACUGGGUGUACAGGGAGCGCAGACGGCUGUGCAAGUCUGGAGUGAAAGGCGGGGGCCCAACCCCCGGACUGCUCUGGAAACUGUAAAGCUGGAGUGCAGGAGAGGUAAGCGGAAUUCCUAGUGUAGCGGUGAAAUGCGUAGAUAUUAGGAGGAACACCAGUGGCGAAGGCGGCUUACUGGACUGCAACUGACGUUGAGGCUCGAAAGCGUGGGGAGCAAACAGGAUUAGAUACCCUGGUAGUC
rnacentral:rRNA from 1 species